rnacentral:sRNA from 1 species
GCCAGGCAUGGUGAUGCAUGCCUGUAAUCUCAGCUACUCAGGAGGCUGAGACGAGAGAAUCACUUGAACCCUGGUGUGCCAUUGCACUCUAGCCUGGGUGACAGAGUGAGACUUCGUCUCAAAAUAAAUAAAGAUUAGAGUUGAGGCCAGGCGGUGGCUCACACCUGUAAUCCCAGCACUUUGAGAGGCCAAGGUGGGAAGAUCACUUGAGACCAGGAGUUUGAGACCAGCCUGGGUAACAUAGUGAGACCCCAUCUCU